CGAUGGCUGUUGACUCAUUAAGGUCCUUGACCUCCAAGGUUGUGAUAUUGAAAUACGUCAUGAAGUCCCAUAGAGAUUCUCCAUCCUGUUUUCUAACAAAGAAAAGGCUAUCAGAGGUUUGUAUCACCCUUCGAUUGAUGCCGAAGUGCAUCAUGAAGAGUUGCUCGAACUGCUCGAAUGAAUGGAUGCUCUCUGGUUGAAGUUUGGAGUACCAUGUUUGGAUAGUUUUUUGAAGAAUAACCCAAAAAGCGAUGCAGAGGAGG
rnacentral:lncRNA from 1 species